AGUCCACCUAUUCUUUUCAGUACUUAAUUUUGGUCAAACAAUUUUCAGAUUCCGUCGGCUCCGACUUUCUUCCAGAUCUGCACUGCAUUUUCGAGUUUAAGCCCUACGCUAUCCUCCAAUAACACCUGCGCACUGCCUCUUAAUUCUCUCUUUUUUUCGUGGAAGGAAUGCAAAUUCCAAAACCCAGAUUGUCCAAUUUAGCUUCUUAGCCUCUUGGCACUUUGUAACCCCAUUUUUGCUAAAGGUUUGUUGCUCAUAUAAUUUCUUCUUUCCUUUAUAUAUUUUAGUUCAAGUGGAAGGAAGAAAGCUCCUCUGCAUUUGGAACUUGGUUGUUUUAACUGCAAUGUUCGUUCCUUGGGAGCUAUAAUUUUCAGGAAUGUAUGUCUCUAAUGAAUUCUACAAUUGCUUCCGGGAAGGAAAAAAAAAACCAUUACAUAUUGGGAAUGAAGACUGUUGAAAUGAAGCUGGCAUCCUACUUUGCUGCAUUUGCUUGUCUGUUUCUUUGUUGCGGUUCAGGAACAGUUGCUGACUUAGACUUAGAUGAGCAAGCCCUCCUGCAAUUUUCUGCCACAGUUCCUCAUGGCCGUAAACUUAAUUGGAGUCCUGCUACCCCGGUAUGCACUUCAUGGGUUGGCAUCAAUUGCACCAAGGAUGGCUCCCGUGUAAUAGCCUUGCACCUUCCUGGUGUUGGACUGCACGGUCAAAUUCCGGCCAACACACUCGGAAAGCUUGAUGCUCUCAGGGUCCUCAGCCUUCGGUCAAACCGUCUCAGCGGGAACCUUCCAUCUGAUGUACUCUCCCUUCCCACUCUUCGUUAUGUAUACCUUCAGCUUAACAAUUUUUCGGGUGACAUCCCUUCCUCUCUCCCUCCCAGUCUGGAUUUCCUUGAUCUCUCCUUCAACUCCUUGACAGGCAACAUUCCAACCGCAAUUCAGAAUCUAACAAACCUGACUGGUUUAAACCUUCAGAAUAACUCCCUUACAGGACCUAUUCCCAAUUUCAGUCUUCCAAGGCUUAGGCUUUUGAAUUUGAGCUACAACCAUUUAAAUGGAUCAGUCCCAUCUUCCUUCCAGAAGUUCCCUGCUUCUUCUUUUGUAGGAAACCAUAUAUGUGGGCCUCCACUUAACCAAUGUCUUACAAUUAGCCCUUCACCAUCACCUUCCCCCACUAACUUCCCUCCACCGACAGUACCAGAAAACCCAAGAAGAGACUCCCAUAAGAAAUUAAGUAUAGGUGCUAUAAUUGCCAUAGGAGUAACAGGUUCUGCACUGGUGUUUUUCUUGUUGCUUAUACUAGUACUUAGCUGUUUAAAGAAAAAGCGCAAUCAAGGUGGUGCUCUUACAUCAAAAGUGAAAGGUGGAAGGAGCGAGAAACCUAAGGAGGAUUUCGGGAGUGAGGUGCAAGAGGCUGAGAAGAACAAAUUGGUUUUCUUUGAAGGCUGUUCUUACAAUUUUGAUCUUGAGGAUUUGUUGAGAGCUUCAGCUGAAGUACUCGGGAAAGGGAGUUAUGGUACGACCUAUAAGGCGAUUUUGGAGGAAGGAAUAACAGUGGUUGUGAAGAGGUUGAAAGAAGUAGCUGCAGGGAAGAGAGAAUUUGAACAACAAAUGGGAAUUGUUGGAAGGCUUGGUCAGCACCCAAAUCUUGUGCCACUUCGUGCUUAUUACUAUUCAAAGGAUGAGAAGUUGAUGGUAUAUGACUUCAUAGCUGCAGGAAGUUUUUCCUCAUUAUUGCAUGGAAGCAGGGAACGUGGGCGUCCUCUUCCAGGCUGGGAUUCGAGGGUAAAGAUUUCUCUGGGAGCAGCAAAAGGCAUUGCCUACAUCCAUUCUUCUGGAGGUGGAAAAUUCAUCCAUGGCAACAUCAAGUCCUCCAAUGUCCUCCUCACAAAGGACUUACAUGGCUGCAUUUCUGAUUUUGGAUUGACUCCUUUAAUGACUUCUCCAAAGGUUCCAUCUAGAAGUGCAGGAUACCGAGCUCCCGAGGUGAUUGAAUCUCGAAAGUUUACUCAAAAGUCUGAUGUCUACAGUUUCGGUGUACUUCUCCUAGAGAUGCUGACAGGCAAAGCAGCAACCCAAUCAUCAGGGCAUAAAGACGUGGUCGACCUUCCAAGGUGGGUUCAGUCUGUUGUUAGAGAGGAAUGGACUGCUGAAGUAUUUGAUGUAGAGCUGAUGAAAUAUCAAAAUAUUGAAGAAGAGCUGGUGCAGAUGCUCCAGAUAGCAAUGACUUGUGUGGCAAGGCUUCCGGACAUGAGACCUACAAUGGAAGAAGUAACUCGGAUGAUUGAAGAAAUUCGACCUUCUGUUUCUGAAAAUCGACCCUCAUCAGAGGACAACAGGUCCAAGGGCUCAGAUACUCAAACCCCAUGAUCACUGCAACUAUGACAUCGAUGUUGUGAUUUCAGACAUAAGGAACACCGACAAGGAUUCAAGUUUGAAUGUUGUUAGAUGCCCGUCUUUGUAUCACUUCCCGGACAUUCAAAGGCUUCCCUGUGAGUGUUAGGAAAGUUGUGGAAGAACAACAGGCUGAAAUCUGUAGAAAAUGUUAGGAAAAUCAGAUGAAUAACCGCAUCUCUUCUGUAUACAAUACAAGAAAAAAUACGAAGAAUGCAUCUAAGCUAAGACUUGGAGCUUAAGUGUUGUUAACCAGGUCAGCACCGGUAACAUAUUUAGUGACAAAUGACAUUAACCGGAACGGAGCACCAAUCAGGGGAGCAUCUAUGAGUGGUACAGUAUUAUUUUCACUCUCAAUAACCUGGGAUUUGAAAUCCCUUGCAUCAGUAUCAUCCAAAGGAAUUGCACAAUUUCCCCCAAGUCAGCAGCUUCUAGAGAAUCCAACUUUGAUGGAUUGAGGUAAGGAAUCAGACAUGUCAAUGACAGUUGGAUGUCCUGCUGCCAUUUUUUGUCGCUCAAGCUUAACAUAUAACUCAUUCACCUGCCAAAAAGUUAGGUACAUUCACACUGAAAAAACUGCCUUUGUAUAUUGUCUUGAAAAGAACAAUAGUAGAAUAAAUAGAAUCAUAAUGUGUUGCAGCACAAAAGGCACCUUCUCAACAAGCUCCGUAUUCUCCAUGAUCAGUUUCUCAACAAGAACACUUGUUGCUUCAAUCUGAGAUACAAUAAGCUUGCUACAUUAGAGAAAACUUG